rnacentral:rRNA from 1 species
CCUACGGGUGGCUGCAGUGGGGAAUAUUGGGCAAUGGAGGAAACUCUGACCCAGCAACGCCGCGUGAAGGAUGAAGGUUUUCGGAUUGUAAACUUCUGUCGCGAGGGAUGAAGAAUGACGGUACCUCGUAAGAAAGCACCGGCUAACUCCGUGCCAGCAGCCGCGGUAAUACGGAGGGUGCGAGCGUCAAUCGGAAUUACUGGGCGUAAAGGGCUCGUAGGCGGUAUGGCAAGUCAAGGGUGAAAUCGCCGCGCUUAACGUGGGAACUGCCUUUGAAACUGGCGAACUGGAGUGUGUGAGAGGAUAGUGGAAUUCCAGGUGUAGGGGUGAAAUGCGUAGAUAUCUGGAAGAACAUCAGUGGCGAAGGCGACUAUCUGGCACAUAACUGACGCUGAGGAGCGAAAGCGUGGGUAGCAAACAGGAUUAGAUACCCCUGUAGUC